AUGGAGCUGCUGAUGCAAAGUUUUGGAUCACUGUGGUGGACUUUUGGUGGAGGAACCAGACUGGAGUUUGGAAGUGAUGCCCCGCCCUCCCUGACAGUGCUGGCCCCCUCCAUGGAGGAGCUGCAGCAGGGGAAGGCCACACUCAUGUGUGUGGCCAACAAGGGCUUCCCCUCAGACUGGACUCUGUCCUGGAAGGUGGUCGGCAGCAGCAGCAGCAGCAGGGAGGAGAGCAGGAGCCCCGGGGUGCUGCAGAAGGACGGCCUCUACAGCUGGAGCAGCACCCUGAGGCUCUGUGCCGACCAGUGGGAGAAGGUGACCUGUGAGGCCAAGAGGGGAUCCCAGACUCCAGUCUCAGAGACUCUCAGGAGAGACCAGUGCUCCCAGUCCUGAACUCAGACAUGCUGAUGGAAAUCUGCUUUCUGUGCACUUCUUCUUUAUUCUCUUUCUCAAACUAUGUUUUCACAUUUUUUACAGUUUGGCUUGGCAUAAUUAUCUUCAAAUAAAAAUCUUUUUGUCAACUGACUUCUGUUUUAAUGACAAAAUCAAAUUAUUGUUUUACUGUCGUGUUACAUUUUGUGAGGAAUAAACUGAAACACAGAAAAAAGUUUAACCCCUUCA